AUACUGUUACCUGGCAGGGGCAACACCAUGAUCAAGAAAGUGGUUUACCCAAAGUGAGGCCUAGCCAUUGCACUCAGGCUGUCCUGACCUUUGUGAAUUCCUCAAAUGCAGGAAUCUCAACUGUCUAAUUUCUGGUAGUGAGGGACUGUGUUCGUGCUCUCCCAUU